rnacentral:tRNA from 1 species
UGCGGGGUGGAGCAGUUCGGUAGCUCGUCGGGCUCAUAACCCGAAGGUCGUUGGUUCAAAUCCAACCCCCGCUACCA